UGUGGGAGCGAGCUUGCUCGCGAAGGCGUCGGCAAAGUCGGAAUCUGCGUUGCCUGACACACCGCUUUCGCGAGCAAGCUCGCUCCCACA
rnacentral:antisense_RNA from 1 species